rnacentral:RNase_P_RNA from 1 species
UGAGUAAACUGGAUGAUCGCGGCUACAAGAUGAAAAUCUGUAGAUGAGGAAAGUCCGGGCUUCAUAGGGUAAGGGCGCCGGGCAAUUCCCGGUGAGGGCGACCUUAAGGAAAGUGCAACAGAAAAUAUACCGCCAAGUAAAUUGGUAAGGGUGGAAUGGUGAGGUAAGAGCUCACCGGCAAUUUGGUAACAAAUUGGCCGUGUAAACCCCGUCUGAAGCAACAUCGUGGAGAAACUAUAUUGUACCCGCAAGGUUUCGAGGAGAUGGCUUGAAUCUAAAUGAGAGUUUAGAUCUAGAUAGAUGAUCAUUCUAGACAGAACCCGGCUUACAGGUUUAGUCAGAUC